UUUGAAGCCCUUAAGUGUUGUCUUAGUAAGCUUUAACUGUGGCUUGUAAAAGUGUUAUCACUGCAAGAAAAAUUUAUUAUUAUUAUUAUUAUACAUUGUAAAUCAGUGUUUAUCGGAAGGGAGCAGCCAUACUCAUGCAAAGCAUCUGGAGAACUUCUGAACCGCCUUUGAAUAGAGCCGAAAAUAACAAGAUUCUCAGAAGAGAGCAUCCAUUGCCUUAAAAAGGCAAGCUACAAAUUCUUCCUUGAUAUGUUGCAGAGGAAUUACACUGAGAAUGAAUCAAACAGUAGAAUUAGGACUUAAGAAGAAUGUUGGUAUAAGC